AACAGGAUUAGAUACCCUGGUAGUCCACGCCGUAAACGAUGUCGAUUUGGAGGUUGUGCCCUUGAGGCGUGGCUUCCGGAGCUAACGCGUUAAAUCGACCGCCUGGGGAGUACGGCCGCAAGGUUAAAACUCAAAUGAAUUGACGGGGGCCCGCACAAGCGGUGGAGCAUGUGGUUUAAUUCGAUGCAACGCGAAGAACCUUACCUGGUCUUGACAUCCACAGAACUUUCCAGAGAUGGAUUGGUGCCUUCGGGAACUGUGAGACAGGUGCUGCAUGGCUGUCGUCAGCUCGUGUUGUGAAAUGUUGGGUUAAGUCCCGCAACGAGCGCAACCCUUAUCCUUUGUUGCCAGCGGU
rnacentral:rRNA from 1 species